rnacentral:rRNA from 1 species
UACAGAGGUCCCAAGCGUUGUUCGGAUUCACUGGGCGUAAAGGGUGCGUAGGCGGUCGGGUAAGUCUGAUGUGAAAUCUCACAGCUUAACUGUGAAACUGCAUUGGAUACUAUCCGGCUCGAGGAAUGGAGGGGAGACUGGAAUACUUGGUGUAGCAGUGAAAUACGUAGAUAUCAAGUGGAACACCAGUGGCGAAGGCGAGUCUCUGGACAUUUCCUGACGCUGAGGAGCGAAAGCGUGGGGAGCGAACAGG